rnacentral:lncRNA from 1 species
UUGUCAUGGAGAUAAUUUCCGCUCGCAAUUUGCCGCCCAGCAGGGCAUUCUGGGAUUACGGGGUCCCCCAAACUGUCAUGGCGUCCUAGGAAGAUGGCGACUGCCAUACAACAGGCUUUCCUGGAGUAUCUAAUAAUUUAAAUUCAAGGCAUUGGCGACAUAGCUAGUGACAGAGGGCCAAGAGAACGGUGGACUGACUGCCAGGGGCCAGCGAUUUUUAGGCCAUCAAUCACCCCCACAGAGCUGAUAAAAUGGAGUGUGCAGUUGACACACAGCCAGGCGGGGACGAGGCUGCAGAGCAAGAACACACUCUGGAGGAAACAUCUGCAAAGGAAGGAAGUGAGACGCCGCAGAAGAAGAACAAGAAGCACAAAAAACACAAGAGCAAGAAGAAGAAGAAGAAACGUGGCAAGGGAGAGCGAGAGACGAGCUCAGAGUCGGCCCCAGAGUCCGACGUAGAAAAGCCGCCAGUCAGAACCAGGGCAGGCUUGAGGAGUGCUGGCCCAGUGGCCUCCGAUACAGGAGUAGACACGAAAGAGGAGGCAACAAAGGACUUGAUCACAGCUAUACCUGAGGUAGAAGGUGACGCUAAAGCCAGAAAACACAAAAGACAUGCUGGGAAAAAGAAGAGAAAAAGGAGGAGAAAAGGGGAAGAAAAGCAGGAGAAGAACUCUUCUUCACACUCCCUAUCAGAGAGCGAAUCUAUGUCAGGAACAGAUUCUGAGUCUGAGGGGAAGCCAGCUGGCAUGGUAGUGCAGGCUGUUCCCAUGCAGUCUAAGGCCAGGCAAGAGGAGCGAGUUCCCUCCCUAUGCAUCACUUUGGCCCAAAAAGAGGAAUCUCUGAAAGUGAUGUGUCAACCCUCAGAUAAUGAGUCUGCGGAUGCAGGAGGAAAGACUGAAGAGAAGGUUUCCCCUGCUAACAGGGAGAACCAAACCAUCUCUGUCACAAAACCGGAAGAUCCACGGAGCGACAGGAGCUUCAGCCACACCCAGGAGCUUCCUGACAUCAUCCCCAAGCAGGAUGGCCAGAAGGAGGAAACCAAACCAGAGCAGAGGUCAAAGGUGAAGAACCAGGCUCCCUCCAGGUCAAGGUCAGGGUCGCUGACAGACACUAAGAUGGCUAGAUCAAGUCUUAGUCGUUCGCCAAGCCCUAAGCGGUCCAGAUCAAGUCGCAGUCGUUCACGAAGCCCCGCGGGAUUGUCUAGUCAGCCUGUGUCUGGCAGGGGCAGGUCUCGAUCUGGCUCAAAAAGCAUGACUCCCAAGAGGAAGCAGUCCAAGUCCCCCAAAAGGACAAGACGCAAGUCCCCAUCUCUGUCCCCCAGGACAAGACGCAAGUCCCCAUCUCUGUCCCCCAGGACAAGACGCAAGUCCCCAUCUCUGUCCCCCAUGACAGGACGCAAGUCCCCAUCUCUUCCCCCAGGAGAGACGCAAGUCCCCAUCUCUGUCCCCCAGGAGAGGACGCAAGUCCCCAUCUCGGUCCCCCAGGAGAGGACGCAAGUCCCAUCUCUGUCCCCCAGGAGAGACGCAAGUCCCCACCUGUCCCCAGGAGAGGACGCAAGUCCCCACUCGGUCCCCCAGGAGGAAGGAACGCAAGUCCCACUCUGUCCCCCAGGAAAGGACGCAUGUCUCCAAAGAGGGGACGCAAGUCCCCUUCUGUCCCCUAAGAGACGACGUAUGUCCCCUCUGUCACCCUGGAGAGGACGCAAGUCUCCUUCUCUGUCCCCUAGACGAGGGCGCAAGUUGUCUCCUCUGUCCCCUAGACGAGGGCGCAAGUUGUCUCCUCUGUCCCCUAGACGAGGGCGCAAGUUUGUCUCCUCUGUCCCCUAG